CGAGUUUGAUCCUGGCUCAGGAUGAACGCUAGCGGCAGGCCUAACACAUGCAAGUCGAGGGGUAGAAGUUGCUUGCAACUUUGAGACCGGCGCACGGGUGCGUAACGCGUAUGCAAUCUACCUUGUACAGAGGGAUAGCCCAGAGAAAUUUGGAUUAAUACCUCAUAGUAUUAUUGAGUGGCAUCACUUAAUUAUUAAAGUUCCAACGGUACAAGAUGAGCAUGCGUCCUAUUAGCUAGAUGGUAAGGUAACGGCUUACCAUGGCUACGAUAGGUAGGGGUCCUGAGAGGGAGAUCCCCCACACUGGUACUGAGACACGGACCAGACUCCUACGGGAGGCAGCAGUGAGGAAUAUUGGUCAAUGGGCGCAAGCCUGAACCAGCCAUGCCGCGUGCAGGAAGACGGUCCUAUGGAUUGUAAACUGCUUUUGUACGGGAAGAAACACUCCCUCGUGAGGGAGCUUGACGGUACCGUAAGAAUAAGGAUCGGCUAACUCCGUGCCAGCCGCCGCCGUAAC
rnacentral:rRNA from 1 species